AGGAGGCACAGGUGGCCACCCUCCGAAGCCCGCAAGGGCGAAGGGGGGAGGAAAGUCCAGACAGCAGAAGGCAGGGUGUCCCGAUUUAAUCGGGAGCGGGUAACCGCCAGUUAGAGCAACAGUGACGAACCGGGGUAAAGCUCGGGUGAAACGGGCAAUCCUCCCCGCUGCAAUCUCCGACCGGAGUGGGUAGCCUUCCCCGAUACUCCAAAGCUUGAGAGCAUCAGAUAGAUGCCACCAAAACAGAAUCUGGCUUAUGCGCCUCCU
rnacentral:RNase_P_RNA from 2 species